rnacentral:rRNA from 1 species
ACUCAAAUGAAUUGACGGGGACCCGCACAACCAGUGGAGCGUGUUGUUCAAUUCGAUACUAAGCGAAAAACCUCACCAGGGCUUGACAUGUAACUGCAAAUCCCGUGAAAGCGGGACUUCUUCGAGAGUGUUACACAGGUGCUGCAUGGCUAUCGUCAGCUCGUGCCGUGAGGUGUUCCCUUAAGUGGGGAAACGAGCGCAACCCUUGUCUAAUGUUACAUAUUCAUUAGAGACGGUCCCAUUUUUUGGGAAGGAAGGAAAGGAAGACGUUAAGUCAGCACGGUCCUUACGCCCUGGGCCACAAACACCCUACAAUGGCGAAAAACAGCGUGCUGCGACACAGUAAUGUGAAGCUAAUCACUUAAAUUUCGCCUCAGUUCAGAUUGGGGGCUGCAACUCGCCCUCAUGAAGUCGGAAUUGGUAGUAAUCGCAGAUCAGAAGGCUGCGGUGAAUACGUUCUCGGGUCUUGUACACACCGCCCGU